GUAGUUCCAGAAUCUACCAGCAGGGGCUAAAUGAGCCAUGCUUGCCAAAUAGCCAACUAGCAGUGUCACCAAAUUUAGCUACUUUCUCAUUGUUGCUGCGACUUUUAUUCAUGUUUUGCGACAAGGAGCUAUUUUAGUUAUUUUUAAAUAAAAUUAGCGAUUUUUUGGAGAUUUUUUAUUUUGGGCAAUUAAACUCUGGCACUAGUUGACCACGUUCGCACUCAACCCUGCUAUGAGCCUGCGCACUGAACACACAGACACAGCAGUACGCAUGAAAAUGCUCUCUAAAUAUAGAGCUGAAUGGGUAAAAAGUUAUCCGAGGGUCUGUCCAGCAACUAAUGAUGAAAAUAGUGAACUGUGGACUGUCUGACUAGCAUGCCGGUGAUAGCCAAGUCUGUGCUGGUGAAGGACAAAAGACCCAGAGUAACAUUGAUCAAUUACUGUUACUCCAGACCUCCCCCUGAAGCCGAUAUGGAUAUCCUUCCAGCGUGAGCUGGAAACGAUUAUUUCGUCUCUGCUGAAGCUCACACUCUUUCAUCUGUGUGGAAACAUCCCGAAUCAGCCCGACCAGGAGAAUGAAGCAGCACGGAAAAUCAAGCUUCUGAGAGCUGAAUCAGAGCUUGCUGGAGUUGGAUGGGAGUAUUAACCGCAGGGUUAAAGAAGGUGACAGAGGGGAGCUGAGCACCAGUGUUACAUUACGCAAGGUCUGUCACUGGAUACAUCAUUGGAUUCCAGUUUACCAAGGCUUCCAUGUUAGAGCCACCAACUUCCCAAGUUAGUUCAUAAUGCUAGUUUUGUCUUCUAUAAACUUGCCCCUAAAUGACACGUUAAAACCAAACAAAAACUGUGAUUGGUCACUUUGCAUUUCCAUCAGACAGUGUUUUACUGUGUAAGUGGCUGGACCAAACUUUAAGCUGAUUAUAAAAAGUCUGGCUAAGCUUGAGUAAAUUGUGAAACAAACGGUUUGAUGUAGAUCUAAGACCAAAAAACAAAACAAAAAAAACGGUCCAUUUUCUAAAAAUGGAAGACGUGAAUGUUAUUUUUCAGGCCUCGGGGUGGACGCACACAUACAUAGUGAGCUGUGUGUCAGGACUGGUUUUGGGGGCGCCACCGCGGUGAGACUGGGCUGUAGAAGUGAAUAGUGGCCCACUCAGAUUCUCUGUAUGGGUGGUCUAUACCGCCUGGACGUGAGACACAAACUGACAGAGACAAGUCACACAACAUGGACACAGAUAACCAGAUUCUAAAUUGGUAGAUUUGACACACACACACACACAGAAACUGUGUUAAUAUUUGUGUCUCUCUGAUGCGGCUCUGUCUGUGUGUGUUGGGGGUCAGACACUGAGCUGCUUCAGAAACAUGGAGAAACCUCAGAUAUUUUCAGUAUAAAUUUCUGGCUUCAUUUUUUCCCUUCACAGAAACCGGCGGCAGUCUAAACAGGGAUGUGGACAAGUUUCCGAAUUUUAAGCUUUGGCAAAAAAAAAAAAAAAAAAAAAAAAAAAGACGUUAUGUAAAUGUUUUCUGAGAUUUGUAUCAGAGAGACCACAAAUGUUACAGAUAAAAGAGAUGUAAAAAUAGUUAAUUUUUGUAUGAAACACUAUGAAGACUUUUUACAGGGUCACACAAGGUCCUACGAUGUAAAAAUGAAAAGAGCCUUUCAUAAGAUAAGACAGAAAAGUGUGUGACUUUCACUGUUAAAAAAAGAAAAGAAAGAAAAAAAACCCCAACUACAUUUUAUUUUUCAGUUUAUGGGACCAUUUGAGUCACAAGGUAUAAAGAAAUCUUGAAUUUACAUUCGUGAAACUACAUAAAAACCCAUGUUAGAGCAACAGAAUUGUUCUAAAUGUUGUCCAAACUAGUCAAAUACAGUUGUCUGAACAAUUCUUUUCAUAUUGAAAAAAACUGAUGAAAAGUUAAUGGUUUGUGAGUUCCCAGCAUGCAUUGCAGUAGAGGUGUAACAAUACAUCAAUAUGGAUUGAUGCAUCAAUCAAAUGAAUAAUGGUAUGAUGUAUCGCUGCAACGCGUAAUUUUUUAAAUAAAUAUAUACACUGCUCAAAAAAAUUAAAGGAACACUUUGAAAACACAUCAGAUCUCAAUGGGGAAAAAUAUCAUGCUGGAUAUCUAUACUGAUAUGGAUUGGGUAAUAUGUUAUGAACGAAAGGAUGCCACAUCAUUUGAUGGAAAUGAAAAUGAUCAACCUAAUUCAAAGACUGAAUUCAAAGACACCC